rnacentral:rRNA from 1 species
AUGGCCGAUAUCGCUCUCGCCGUUCACCCACCAUGCCGCGUCGUGGCACUGCCGUACCCCGGCCGUGGCCACGUGAACGCGAUGCUGAGCCUGUGCCGCCUGCUCGCCGCACGCGGCGUCGCCACCACGGUCAUCCUCACCGAGGAGUGGGUUGGCUUGGUUGGCGCAGCAGAGUCGACCCUACCGGCGCGCGUCCGCUUGACCGCCAUCCCCAACGUCAUCCCCUCCGAGCACGGCCGCGACGCCGAUUUACCUGAAUUCUGGGACGCCGUUAACACCAGGAUGGACGCCCCUGUGGAGCGGCUCCUAGAGGCGAUGCUGCCAACACCGGAGAUGGCGGUAGUCGUGGCAGUGGGCGGUGCCCAUGGCGAUCCGAUGUGGGAUCAGCCUAUCCCUGGCCAUACUUGCUUAACAAUGCGCGAGUUUCAGCCGAUCUUGUGUGGCCAGGCCAUUCGAAAGCGAUUCAAGGCGAUAAUUCACAGUGCCCAGGCAGGUCAGUGCGUGCUCUUCUCCUCAUUUUACGAGCUCGAAGCCGGUGUCAUGGACUCGCUCGGCUCAGAGGCUUCGUCGCCCCGCAUGUACUCGAUUGGCCCCUGCAUCCCUUACACGAUGCUUGAAGAAGCACCGCGAGGCGAGCACUCCUACUGGGCUUGGCUGGACACGCAGCCUGUAGGCUCCGUGCUGUACGUGUCGCUGGGCAGCUUCCUCUCGCUGCCACCCUCCCAGCUCGCCGAGCUCGCCAUGGGGCUCGCUGCGAGCGGCGUCAAGUUCAUGUGGGUGCUCCACGACGAAGCGCAGUCACAGGUGCAGCCGCUGCUGCGUGGCAACGGCCACGGGGUGCUCGUGGCGUGGUGCGACCAGCUCAAGCCGACCAAUAGCCGCCUGGUCGUCGACGUGUGGAAGAUUGGGUACAGUCUUAAGGAGAAGAUGCAACCCGACGGCAUCAUCACGAGGGAGGCGAUUGCCCGGGCCGUCGAGACACUGAUGAGCUCCUCUGAUCUGCCACAGAGCAAUGGGGUGAGGAGCAGAGCGCUUCGAUGGAGGGACGCUUCUCGCAGAGCCAUCCAAGAGGGUGGAUCUUCGUCCACUGACAUGAACUCUUUCUUAAGAUACAGCUUAUUUGCAUUGUUCUACAUACUUUGUGAUGAGGAUGCGGCGUGCGACAAUGAAGAGGAGGAGGAAGAAUCAUCUUCGGAGGAGUCGGAUGAAUCGGAGGAAGAUGAGGAUGAAGACAAGGACGAGACUUGA